rnacentral:rRNA from 1 species
GAUGAACGCUGGCGGCGUGCCUAAUACAUGCAAGUCGAGCGAACAGACGAGGAGCUUGCUCCUCUGACGUUAGCGGCGGACGGGUGAGUAACACGUGGAUAACCUACCUAUAAGACUGGGAUAACUUCGGGAAACCGGAGCUAAUACCGGAUAAUAUAUUGAACCGCAUGGUUCAAUAGUGAAAGACUGUUUUGCUGUCACUUAUAGAUGGAUCCGCGCCGCAUUAGCUAGUUGGUAAGGUAACGGCUUACCAAGGCGACGAUGCGUAGCCGACCUGAGAGGGUGAUCGGCCACACUGGAACUGAGACACGGUCCAGACUCCUACGGGAGGCAGCAGUAGGGAAUCUUCCGCAAUGGGCGAAAGCCUGACGGAGCAACGCCGCGUGAGUGAUGAAGGUCUUCGGAUCGUAAAACUCUGUUAUUAGGGAAGAACAAAUGUGUAAGUAACUAUGCACGUCUUGACGGUACCUAAUCAGAAAGCCACGGCUAACUACGUG